rnacentral:rRNA from 1 species
GACGAACGCUGGCGGCGUGCUUAACACAUGCAAGUCGAACGGAAAGGCCCUUCUUUUGCGGGGUGCUCGAGUGGCGAACGGGUGAGUAACACGUGAGUAACCUGCCCUUGACUUUGGGAUAACUUCAGGAAACUGGGGCUAAUACCGGAUAGGAGCUCCUGCUGCAUGGUGGUGGUUGGAAAGUUUCGGCGGUGGGGGAUGGACUCGCGGCUUAUCAGCUUGUUGGUGGGGUAGUGGCUUACCAAGGCGUUGACGGGUAGCCGGCCUGAGAGGGUGACCGGCCACAUUGGGACUGAGAUACGGCCCAGACUCCUACGGGAGGCAGCAGUGGGGAAUAUUGCACAAUGGGCGGAAGCCUGAUGCAGCAACGCCGCGUGGGGGAUGACGGCCUUCGGGUUGUAAACCGCUUUCGCCUGUGACGAAGCGUGAGUGACGGUAAUGGGUAAAGAAGCACCGGCUAACUACGUG